rnacentral:rRNA from 1 species
CCUACGGGUGGCAGCAGUGAGGAAUAUUGGUCAAUGGACGAGAGUCUGAACCAGCCAAGUAGCGUGAAGGAUGACUGCCCUACGGGUUGUAAACUUCUUUUAUAAAGGAAUAAAGUGAAGCAUGUGUGCCUUUUUGUAUGUACCAUAUGAAUAAGGAUCGGCUAACUCCGUGCCAGCAGCCGCGGUAAUACGGAGGAUCCGAGCGUUAUCCGGAUUUAUUGGGUUUAAAGGGAGCGUAGAUGGAUUGUUAAGUCAGUUGUGAAAGUUUGCGGCUCAACCGUAAAAUUGCAAUUGAUACUGGCAGUCUUGAGUGCAGUUGAGGUAGGCGGAAUUCGUGGUGUAGCGGUGAAAUGCUUAGAUAUCACGAAGAACUCCGAUUGCGAAGGCAGCUUACUAAACUGUCACUGACAUUGAUGCUCGAAAGUGUGGGUAUCAAACAGGAUUAGAUACCCGAGUAGUC